GAUGAACGCUGGCGGCGUGCUUAACACAUGCAAGUCGAACGGACCUUGAGGAGCUUGCUCCUCUUGGUUAGUGGCGGACGGGUGAGUAACGCGUGGGUAACCUGCCCUAUGCAGGGGGAUAACGUUUGGAAACGAACGCUAAUACCGCAUAACAUAAGAAGUUUGCAUGAACUUCUUAUCAAAGAUUUAUCGGCAUAGGAUGGACCCGCGUUGGAUUAGCUAGUUGGUGAGAUAACAGCCCACCAAGGCAACGAUCCAUAGCCGGCCUGAGAGGGUGAACGGCCACACUGGGACUGAGACACGGCCCAGACUCCUACGGGAGGCAGCAGUGGGGAAUAUUGCACAAUGGGCGCAAGCCUGAUGCAGCGACGCCGCGUGAAGGAUGAAGGUUUUCGGAUCGUAAACUUCUAUCAGCAGGGAAGAACCAAAUGACGGUACCUGACUAAGAAGCCCCGGCUAACUACGUGCCAGCAGCCGCCGUAAUAC
rnacentral:rRNA from 1 species